CCUACGGGUGGCAGCAGGGAGGAAUAGUGGGCAAUGGACGGAAGUCUGAACCAGCCAUGCCGCGUGCAGGAAGAAGGCGCGAGGAGUUGUAAACUGCUGUUGUAAAAGGGUAAACCUGAAUACGUGGAUGCAGAUGAAAGUACGGUACGAAUAAGGAUCGGCUAACUCCGUGCCAGCAGCCGCGGGAAGACGGAGGAUCCAAGCUUUAUCCGGAUUUAUUGGGUUUAAAGGGUGCGUAGGCGGAUUGAUAAGUUAGAGGUGAAAUGUCCGAGCUUAACUCGGGAACUGCCUCUAAAACUUUUGAUCUAGAUAGUAGAUGCGGUAGGCGGAAUGUAUGGUGUAGCGGUGAAAUGCUUAGAGAUCAUACAGAACACCGAUUGCGAAGGCAGCUUACCACUCUAUAUCUGACGUUGA
rnacentral:rRNA from 1 species